rnacentral:rRNA from 1 species
GAUGAACGCUGGCGGCGUGCCUAAUACAUGCAAGUCGAACGCAUAGCGAAAGGUGCUUGCACCUUUCAAGUGAGUGGCGAACGGGUGAGUAACACGUGGACAACCUGCCUCAAGGCUGGGGAUAACAUUUGGAAACAGAUGCUAAUACCGAAUAAAACUUAGUGUCGCAUGACACAAAGUUAAAAGGCGCUUCGGCGUCACCUAGAGAUGGAUCCGCGGUGCAUUAGUUAGUUGGUGGGGUAAAGGCCUACCAAGACAAUGAUGCAUAGCCGAGUUGAGAGACUGAUCGGCCACAUUGGGACUGAGACACGGCCCAAACUCCUACGGGAGGCAGCAGUAGGGAAUCUUCCACAAUGGGCGAAAGCCUGAUGGAGCAACGCCGCGUGUGUGAUGAAGGCUUUCGGGUCGUAAAGCACUGUUGUAUGGGAAGAACAGCUAGAAUAGGAAAUGAUUUUAGUUUGACGGUACCAUACCAGAAAGGGACGGCUAAAUACGUG